CCUACGGGAGGCAGCAGUGGGGAAUAUUGGGCAAUGGGCGCAAGCCUGACCCAGCAACGCCGCGUGAAGGAAGAAGGCUUUCGGGUUGUAAACUUCUUUUGUCAGGGAAGAGUAGAAGACGGUACCUGACGUAUCAGCCCCGGCUAACUACGUGCCAGCAGCCGCGGUAAUACGUAGGUGGCAAGCGUUGUCCGGAUUUACUGGGUGUAAAGGGCGUGUAGCCGGGUUGACAAGUCAGAUGUGAAAUCCUGCGGCUUAACCGCAGAACUGCAUUUGAAACUGUUGAUCUUGAGUACUGGAGAGGCAGAUGGAAGUCCUAGUGUAGCGGUGAAAUGCGUAGAUAUUAGGAGGAACACCAGUGGCGAAGGCGGUCUGCUGGACAGCAACUGACGGUGAGGCGCGAAAGCGUGGGGAGCAAACAGGAUUAGAUACCCUUGUAGUC
rnacentral:rRNA from 1 species